rnacentral:rRNA from 1 species
AACGGGUGAGGAACACGUGAGGAAUCUGCCUUUCACUUCGAGAUAACUCCGGGAAACCGGGGCUAAUACCGGAUAUUUUCAACUGGCGGCAUCGCCGGUUGAAGAAAGUUUCGGUGAAAGAUGACCUCGCGGCCUAUCAGCUUGUUGGUGAGGUAAUGGCUCACCAAGGCAACGACGGGUAGCCGGCCUGAGAGGGCGACCGGCCACACUGGGACUGAGACACGGCCCAGACUCCUACGGGAGGCAGCAGGGGGAAUAUUGGGCAAGGAGGAAACUCUGACCCAGCGACGCCGCGUGAGGGAUGAAGGCCUUCGGGUGUAAACCUCUUUCAGCAGGGAAUAAGCGAAAGUGAAGGUACCUGCAGAAGAAGCACCGGCUAACUAUGUGCCAGCAGCCGCGGUAAUACAUAGGGUGCAAGCGUUGUCCGGAAUUAUUGGGCGUAAAGAGCUCGUAGGUGGUCGAUCACGUCGGAUGUGAAAAUCUGAGGCUUAACCUCAGACCUGCAUUCGAUACGGGUUGACUGGAGUGUGGUAGGGGAGGCUGGAAUUCCUGGUGUAGCGGUGGAAUGCGCAGAUAUCAGGAGGAACACCGAUGGCGAAGGCAGGUCUCUGGGCCAUUACUGACACUGAGGAGCGAAAGCGUGGGGAGCGAACAGGAUUAGAUACACCGGUAGUCCACGCCGUAAACGGUGGGCGCUAGUUGUGGGAACCUUCCACGGUUUCUGCGACGCAGCUAACGCAUUAAGCGCCCCGCCUGGGGAGUACGGUCGCAAGACUAAAACUCAAAGAAAUUGACGGGGCCCCGCACAAGCAGCGGAGCAUGCGGCUUAAUUCGACGCAACGCGAAGAACCUUACCAAGGCUUGACAUAUACAGGAAUACGACAGAGAUGUCGUAGCCGCAAGGUCUGUAUGCAGGUGGUGCAUGGUUGUCGUCAGCUCGUGUCGUGAGAUGUUGGGUUAAGUCCCGCAACGAGCGCAACCCUCGUCCUGUGUUACCAGCAUUUAGUUGGGGACUCACAGGAGACUGCCGGGGUCAACUCGGAGGAAGGUGGGGAUGACGUCAAAUCAUCAUGCCCCUUAUGUCUUGGGCUGCACGCAUGCUACAAUGGCUGGUACAAGGGCUGCAUACCGUAAGUGGAGCGAAUCCCAUAAAGCCAGUCUCAGUUCGGAUUGGGUCUCAAC